rnacentral:tRNA from 1 species
UUGUGAGUAGCUUAAGUUAAAAGUUUAGGAUUCUUACUCCUAAGAUGUUUUGUUUAUUUUGACCUCUCAAA